rnacentral:lncRNA from 1 species
ACAUAUAUAUAUAUAUAUAUAUAUAUAUAUAUUUAUCAUAUCCUUAUCAUGCACUAUUAUUAUACUACUGAAAAAACAUUGAAUAAUGUAGACACGAAGAAUAUACCUGAUUCGAUAUUUUCAGUUACGAAUUCUUUCAAUACCUAAAAAACGCGCACAAUUUGGCAGCUGCAGCAGUGCUCCGUAUUUUGGGCAUAUCUCUCUCGUUCGAUGUCCGAUUUCAGUGAUUCAAGAUGUUUCAGACAGCCAACAGAAAUGCCUAAAGCUUUCGUGCUCUACACAUUCUCAAAUUCGGACAUUAUCAGGUCCGAAAUUUGACUCAAAGUCUGCACUCGUGAAUUGUACGAAAACUCACCUAUAUCAAAAAAUAAGAUGGUUAAUUUUUCGUCAAAUCAAAAUAACAAUAAAAUAUAAUUUAUCAUCUCCCCUUUUAUCAUCAAGAGCCUAUUUCUGAUCAUCGUCAAAUCUCGUCUUCAUGGGAU